UACGUAGGGGCGAGCGUUAUCCGGAAUUAUUGGGCGUAAAGGGUUCGCAGGCGGCCUUGUAAGUCAGAUGUGAAAGACAGCGGCUUAACCGUUGUAAGCAUUUGAAACUGCAGGGCUUGAGUACAGGAGAGGAAAGCGGAAUUCCUAGUGUAGCGGUGAAAUGCGUAGAUAUUAGGAGGAACACCAGUGGCGAAGGCGACUAUCUGGACAGUAACUGACGCUGAGGCGCGAAAAGCGUGGGGAGCAAAACAGGAUUAGAUACCCCCGGUAGUCCCUGA
rnacentral:rRNA from 1 species